rnacentral:lncRNA from 1 species
GUAUAGAAGUGCUCACUAAAGAAUUUUUAUGCACACUAAAAUUGACUCAUAACAUUUCGCAUGUGUGAGCAAGAGUGUAGUUGUACUUGGGGUCUUCUAACCACUGCUCUAGGUUGUGACUUUGAUUGUACAAUUGACUUAGACACUACCAUGCCUGUGUUUAACAAGAGUAGAUUUUGAUGAUUGCUCCACUCUCUUAACCUCUAAACUUCACAAUCCAACCUUGUGCUUAAUUUAUUUCUGGAUUACUACCAAUCUUUUUCCUGGUUCUUCUGACUCUCUAAAAGAUUAUGAACUAAAAUUGCUCUAUGCCAUGGUACACAAGAUUGAAAUUUCGCUUGUUAAAUUGAUGAUAAGAUUUUAGCUACUUACCCAUGACCCAACUUGGUCCCGCUGGUGUGUUGCCACCUGUAGGACCCUGCACUUGAUGUUUCCCAUGUCUUUGGAUUUCAGAAUGCUCAAGAAUCCAAGUGUGGGGGGUCAAGUGACCCCCACCUAAGUCUCUAAAUUUCCUGAACACACCAUGACGUAGUGCAUGGUGAGGCAAGUUGGCUCGACAAAUUCUACCCUAAGUAGGGGGUCGGCCGACCCCAUCUUUGAUGGCCAACGGGAACACAAGCUUGCAGAGGUACAUCAUCAACAAUGGGAAUUCAAAUGGCAGCAAUGGACAAGCCCAAGUGGGGUCGGCCGACCCACCUUGGAGCCCUGGACCCACCAGUUAGCAUCCACUCAACAUCUACUUGCCUUCUGACUGGAUUGCCACUCUUACUCCCCCUCUGCUCUUUCAUUUUUAUUACUUCUGUCUCUUGUUUGCUUUAAUAGAUAAAAUAACAAAAAAUAAAAACAUGAAGACUUGGAUCUAUGAUUUAUGACAUUAAAAGUGUGACAUGAUUCAUGACAUAAAAAUGGUAAAAGUGUCACAAAGUCUAAUUCUUGCUUAUGCUUAUACUUGUGGGUCACAUAUCUUGAUAGGAAUAUCACAUUGACUUGGUUGUUGACAAUUGUGAUAUAGUUAUUAGCUCUUGAUUCAUACCCUUUCUAUUCAAAGUGCUUAGAGAUUUAUUUUUGAAAAUAUCAUAAAACCAUAGUGUCACUUACUCCUCAAUAAUAAGAGAAUUCCUACCACAACCAUAUAUGUUCAUACCUUGUUCAAAACCCUUCUAUAUAUGCUACUUGUACUUGUGUUGAGUUUAGUCAAACCUUGUGACCCUAGUUGAGAAUUAUGUCAUAGUCCCAAGAUCAAGAUCACACACACCACAUAUAUAUGCUACUUCUACACUAGAAGUACACAAAUACAGGCCAUCCAUUUCACCAUAUAGAUGCUCCAUGUUUUAAGGUUUAGAAUAUCUCUCUCUAAGUAUUGUUUAUAAGAUGAGACACAAAGGCUAUGCUUAGUAAAAAAAAGUGGGCACAUGAAGGUCCAUUGCUUUUGAAAAAAAAGAAAAAAAACUAGCUAGGUCUCAAAUAAAAUAGAGAGAGACAUCUUAUCAAAUAGAGGAGCAUUCUAUUCUAAUCAUUUUCACACAUUUACACAUCUUGAUCUAGGAUUAUGACAUUCUUCUCAUUGGAUCCUUGUUUUGACUUUACAAUAGAUACAAUGCAAGUAUGCUAUCUUGUUUCUCCCUACCCGAGCCCCACAUAAGCCUAAUAGAUGUAGGAUGAAACAAAAGAAGGCAAUCUUAUGCUAUGCCUUGGUGAGGAAUCCUAUACUUACUGAGUGACUUAAGAGUACUAUUAGAGGAGUAAGGAUGAACUAUGUGCUUUCUUUUAAAACAUUUAUCAAAAACUCUAAGUACUAAGGAUAUGAAAAUGGGAAGAUGACUUUGCUUUGAGAAUUGUUCCAUUUUUCAACAUCCUAAGGAUAUAUUUUAGACAGUGCCAUAUAACCCACUUGUAUAAGAUAUGUCUUGAGUAGUCUUUGUUGUUGCUUAUAUCUUAAAAGUGUCAUAAUCACAGGUUAUCUUUCUCUAACCUUUGCUCGAGGACGAGCAUAGACUUAAGUGUGGGGGAUCUUGUUGACGGUAUUUUCACAAUGAUUUUUGACUACUAAAAUAAUCAACAAUGGAUAAGUUUUGGGGAUAACACCAAGCAACUAUGUAGUGACAUAGGUACAAUUCAAUUGGUUCCACAUGUACAUGUCAUUAUUUGGAUGCAGGUGCAAACAACCACUAAUCAAGUCUGAUAAAGCUCAAAUGAAGCAAAGAUGAUCACGAACCAAAACCACUGCAGAUCAACAAAAGAUUGAAGAUGACAAGUGGGGACAUCAUGUGGAGCAAGGUGGUGGGCCAACCCCCCAAGGGUAGGUCGGCCGACCCACCUUUGGUGGGGUCCCACCUGGCCGACACUCCCACCGACCUCAGCACCUUCUAGAAGCUUGGUGGGUCCCACAUGGAAGCAAUAGGUCGGUCGGCCGACCCUGACAUGUGGGCCCCCAAAGGUCAGUUUGCCUCCACCGACCUUCUGCAUGCCAAACAUGUGUGGAAAUACCUCCACCCUUGAUCUUUGGUGGUGGGAAGGUCGGUUUAUCCAAUGGUGCACGCUGG